GGCGGGGCUGGGCUGGCCGAGCAGUGCGCGCCGGCGGCUGACGGGGCAGAGCGCACGACGCCGCCUACGCGCGAGCUGCAACCUCCUACCGUCGUCGCCGCCAGCACAGGAGGGGGGCCAAGACGUCUCUCCAACGGGGGGCUAGCGCAGGACCGCGUCAGGCGUCCAAAAGAAGGAAGAUGCCUCGCGGCGACAGAGAAAGCGACUGGAGGGAAAAGGAGCAGUUCCGCAAACUGUUUAUUGGUGGCUUAAGCUUUGAAACAACAGAGGAAAGCUUGAGAAGUUACUAUGAGCAAUGGGGAAAGCUUACAGACUGUGUGGUAAUGAGGGAUCCUGCAAGCAAAAGAUCAAGGGGGUUUGGUUUUGUAACAUUCUCCUCCAUGGCUGAAGUUGAUGCAGCUAUGGCUGCAAGACCUCACACGAUUGAUGGAAGGGUGGUUGAGCCCAAGAGAGCUGUGGCUAGAGAGGAAUCUGGAAAACCUGGUGCUCAUGUUACUGUGAAAAAACUAUUUGUUGGUGGUAUUAAGGAGGACACUGAAGAGCACCACCUUCGUGACUACUUUGAGGAAUAUGGAAAAAUUGACACUAUUGAAAUCAUUACUGACAGACAGUCUGGUAAAAAGAGAGGGUUUGGAUUUGUUACAUUUGAUGACCAUGAUCCUGUGGAUAAAAUUGUAUUGCAGAAGUAUCACACCAUUAAUGGCCAUAAUGCAGAAGUAAGGAAAGCUCUCUCUAGACAGGAAAUGCAGGAGGUUCAAAAUUCAAGGAGUGGGAGAGGAGGGAACUUCGGUUUUGGUGAUGCACGUGGAGGUGGUGGCAACUUUGGUCCAGGACCUGGCAGCAAUUUCAGAGGGGGAGCUGGUAAGACAGAUGGAUAUGGAAGUGGCCGUGGAUUUGGUGAUGGGUAUAACGGAUAUGGUGGAGGACCUGGAGGUGGCAACUUUGGUGGCAGUCCUGGUUAUGGAGGAGGAAGAGGAGGAUACGGUGGAGGAGGACCUGGAUAUGGCAACCAGGGUGGGGGCUAUGGAGGUGGCUAUGACAACUAUGGAGGAGGCAAUUACGGAAGUGGAAACUAUAAUGAUUUUGGAAACUACAACCAACAACCUUCAAAUUAUGGUCCAAUGAAAAGUGGAAAUUUUGGUGGCAGCAGGAACAUGGGGGGACCAUAUGGUGGAGGAAACUAUGGUCCAGGGGGCAGUGGAGGAAGUGGUGGAUAUGGAGGGAGGAGCCGUUAUUGAGUUUCUGCAAGCAUGCCAUGGGUAAGUAUGUUUAUAAGUGUUAAAAUUGCAGUGAUUCUUGAGAGUAGCUGCAGGAGUUAAAAGCUUUUUAGGAUCAUAUUAUCUUUCCUUUAAAAAAUGGUUAGAUGAAUAAUUUCAUAACCUAUUUUUUUACUCUUUACUUCUGUUGAAACAGGCUUCACUGUAUAAAUAGGAGAGGAUGAGAGCCCAGAGGUAACAGAACAGCUUCAGGUUAUCGAAAUAACAAUGUUAAGGAAACACUUAUCUCAGUCAUGCAUAAAUAUGCAGUGAUAUGGCAGAAGACACCAGAGCAGAUGCAGAGAGCCAUUUUGUGAAUGGAUUUGGAUUAUUUAAUAACAUUACCUUACUGUGGAGGAAGGAUUGUAAAAAUGCCUUUGAGACAGUUUCUUAGCUUUUUAAUUGUUGUUUCUUUCUAGUGGUCUUUGUAAGUGUAGAAGCAUUCCUUUGAUAAUGUUAAAUUUGUAAGUUUCAGGUGACAUGUGAAACCUUUUUUAAGAUUUUUCUCAAAGUUUUGAAAAGCUAUUAGCCAGGAUCAUGGUGUAAUAAGACAUAACGUUUUCCUUUUAAAAAUUUAAGUGCGUGUGUAGAGUUAAGAAGCUGUUGUACAUUUAUGAUUUAAUAAAAUAAUUCUAAAGGAAAUAUUGUGUAAUUUUAGAUUUUUUUUUUAAUACUGUAAAAUAAGGCAAGGAGUGGGUAGUAUAAGGUCCCACAAAUAAUAUAAAGCUAUUGUUGUACAUGUAAAAUUAAAUGCUGGUCAGAAAAAAGUAUGUUGUCUGUAAAUGAUCAGGUUUAAAAUAUCUAGAUAACUUAAGGGAUAUCUCUGCAAGGAGAAACACCUUUUUAGAUCUUUUAGAUGCUGCUUCUUCAAUGGCAAGGAAAGGAAAUAUCCCCAGCGAGGUACUCUUCCAGGGACACAGGUCUAGUACAAGAGAACUCUUGAAAACGUCACUAAGUUCAGCCAGUCUUAAAAAGCUGCGCUGUAUUUCUGCAAAGCUUUAACUACAGUAGUUUAUAAGGAUGCCAACGAAGGCUGAGGGUGUAGAGCAAAAUAGUUCUAAGCUUCAGUUAAACUUCUUUAGGUAAGAUCUUAUUUACUUUUCCUUUCUUAAUGUUCCAAAACCAAGAAACUAAUAUUGUAUGACAGUAUUCUUUCAGUAUAGUGAUUAUCAUGUAGUUUAACAUAGCAAUGCAUUGAGUUAACAAUUACCAAUUUAAAAGAAAUUUGUGAAUCCUGUUUUCUUGUAUUAUUAAAUUUUUUACAAACAAAUUUUUGUUAAUUUCAGCUACUUAACAUAUUUUUUUCCUACUGGAAUCUAGCUAUGAUAUGAACCCUGGACAAGCAUAGACUGCUGCCACUGUACACUGCUACAGUUGAACAAAUGAGACCUGCAAGUGUCCAUUAGUAAAGCUUUGCAAGGGUUCCAUCCCUGGUGUUGGUAGUUAAAAUGGAAGGUGCCAUGCUGCAGGUAACUAAUGAAGAAGUGGUCAACCACAGAAACGCUUCAAGAAAUAAGAAAUUCUGUAUCAUCAGAAAAUAGUUGUUUUUGCUGCCUUCAUUAAAAAUCUAGAGGUUAAAUGAAUACUGAUAAAACAUCACAAUUAGUACAGCUCCCUGUAAUGCUGGGUUUUUUAAAUUACAGUAAUAAUGUCUUGUAAACCUUUCGAAUAAAAUUAAGAUUCGUUAGGAGAAACAAAUCACUAAUGUUAAAAUAGCAACCAUUCUGUGAGUAGAAAGUUUAACUACAUAUUUUUAUAACUUUCAUAGCUUUAAAAUAAAGUAUUUUUUAUACCAAA